GACGAGCGCUGGCGGCGUGCCUAACACAUGCAAGUCGAACGGGGUAGAGAGCUUCGGUUUUCUACUUAGUGGCGAACGGGUGAGUAACGCGUGAGAAACCUGCCUUUCAGUGGGGGACAACAGUUGGAAACGACUGCUAAUACCGCAUAAUGUUAUUUGGGGGCAUCCCUGAAUAACCAAAGCUUUAUGUGCUGAAAGAUGGUCUCGCGUCUGAUUAGCUAGAUGGCGGGGUAACGGCCCACCAUGGCGACGAUCAGUAGCCGGUCUGAGAGGAUGAACGGCCACAUUGGGACUGAGAUACGGCCCAGACUCCUACGGGAGGCAGCAGUGGGGAAUAUUGGGCAAUGGGGGAAACCCUGACCCAGCAACGCCGCGUGAGGGAAGAAGGCUUUCGGGUUGUAAACCUCUUUUAGCAAGGGACGAAGAACGUGACGGUACCUGCAGAAAAAGCAACGGCUAACUACGUGCCAGCAGCCGCAGUAAAAC
rnacentral:rRNA from 1 species